ensembl:lncRNA
AUUCAGCACAGUCACCGUGGCACACAGACACUCCCUCAGCAACCCUAAGCAGCUAAAAUGCCUUGGCUCCUGCUUGAACAGCUCCUGAGCUGCUUGUAUCAGCCUUGCAUUAUGGAGAGGCCAAGGAGAUACUGUUUUCCACCACUGUUCCACAGCACGGGUGGUCUUAGAAGCUAACUAUUGCAAGAUCUCAAUACUACUGCUCUAAAUAGACUUAAAAUAUACCAUCCCUGAAAACUGGAUGUGGGUUGGAGAGAGGAACAAGCAUCUAGCCAAGUGAAGACAAACAGUCGCAACAUCCCAGCUCCUCCAGCAGGCUCUCUCACGAAGGCUCACUGAAGAGUGCUGAGGAAUAGAAGCAUCAGGGUGGAAUGUCUCUUCUCCCCGCAAGAAUAACCUAGGAAUACAUUUAAAUUUCAGUCUCCUGGAACCAAUAAAAACAUUGUUUGGCCCUUUAUGAAGUGUUUGUGGGUAGGAAAUGGUGAAAAUGACAAGGACUUCAUAAGUUACUCCAUAACACCCCAGAGAGGUAGGUGAAGAUCAAUAGCUCCACACCAAGCACUUUCUGUAUGAGACACUGGCAUACGUGAGCCAUAUAUGCUGUUGCUUUUCAGACCUUUCUUAUGGUUGUAUCAGUCAUAUUAAUAAUGACCAAAGAAUUAAAGUGUUCGGCAAAAUUUCACCUAACCCCCCUGCCCAAUUAUCUUCAAUAUUAAUUAACUGUCGCAGAAUGCCAUCAAGCUAGCUAGUUUCAGUGUGUUUCCCUCCUGAUGCUGAUGUCUAUGAAACUGACAGCAAUUGAAACUGAUGUCUAUGAUGUUAUGCUAUGAAACAGUCCUAGAAAAAAGUUAUUUGCAAUACUAAUGCUUUUAUGGGCACUACCAGCCAAGUUUUUUUGGAGCUCUUUGUGAACACAAAUUAAUUAACCUGUAUAGUGAGAAUUGAAGUGAAGUGGCUUUGACUAUUGUCCCCUUGGGUUUAAAGUAAGAGUAUACAAGUUGGUUUUGCAGACAUUUAUUUCUAGGUCAAUCCUUGCAUUCUUUUCCAGCAUCAAUAUUCAUUAGAGAAAGAAAAAAUAUACAAGCAUGGAACACGGUGAAUUAAAAUUUGUUCUCAACAAUGACCCUGAAAUAUAAGUCUUUCAAGGAAAGAGCCAGUAAAACUGCACUAAUACCUUUAGAGUUAAUGAAAUAGACAUAGCAUUUCAAUGUGUUUAGGUCAGUAAAGCUUAGUUAUGAAGGAUAUUGACUGAGGUUGCACUAGACUGGAAAGUCAUUAUAACAAUCCAGAUGUGAUCUAUUUCACAACAAAUUAAAAUGUGAAACCAGAGCUAAAUUUCAUUGUAUCCACAUUAAAUUCUAGACUGCCGUAUGACAAGUGACUUAAGAUCUUCAUAACUGUAUCCCUGGUUAUGACCCUCUCAUCCCAAGACCAUAAAUUUUAUCAGUGAGCAUGGAAUGAUUGUUUUCAAAAGGGUUUUCAGCCUUCAGAAGAACCUUAGCAUUUCUUCUCUACAGCUCAGAAUACUGAGCUCAACAGAUGACUGCACUAUUUGCUUUUGCUAUUAGCAUAGACAUAUAUAUAAAAAGUCUUUCCAAGUUUAUUUUGUACAUUCUCCAAAUUGAGGUCCAGAGUACCAAGAUAUUCAAAUGAUCAAGAACUCUAAUGUUAAGUGUGGGUACUGGAUAAAGGUGAGUACGUGGGAGAACAUUGUAUUUAUGAGGAAAUACCGAGUUCCUGAUUAGCCAAAACCUUCUUAGUAUCACUAAGAAGGACAUUUGCCAACUUUGCAACAUCCAAUUUCAACUCAGACUUAAUCUGUGUUCUACUAUGCUCUCCAUAUUCCUUUUGACAGUUGUUUCAGAAAUACAGGCAUUAGCUGUUUUGUGUUUGCCCAUUUUUCUUCCAGAAGUCCAGCACUUGGCUCCCAAUUUUCACUGAAUAUAGUCUGUUUUCAGACAAUCUCUGCAGUUCAUAAAGAACCUUCUCAAGGCUGGUCUCAUUCCAGAAUCUUACCCUUCCCUCCAGAGUUUACUUCAGCUGAUUAUGUUGUCUCUCAGUCAUCAAAAUAAACUGUGACAUAGUGAUUAGUACAAGAGCUGAAAUUGAACCACUCUAAACAGGGAUCUGAACAGUAUUCUCCUAGUUUCUGUGAGAUUGUCAACUGGGAAAAACAUCAAUAGCUUAAUUAAAACUGGAUCCAUCAUUUACUAAUAGAUUGGAUCUCCUGCUUCUACACGAUUCUCCAAUUCUAUAUUAAAAAAAAAAAAAAAAAGUGAAGUAGUUUGGCCUAGUUUGUUCUUGACACACAUACACUCACUAAUUCUUUUUACCUCUUUGUACUAUUCCACAAAAAUUAAUUAAUUAAUUAAUUAAUUACUAAUUUUUAGUAUUUUCUGGUUCCUACCUGGGUACCAAAGUUAAAUCAGCUGAACUAGAAAUCCCUGAUACGAUGUGCAUUUCCCCCCAGUCCUCUGGGAGCACAGAGUCCUUGCUGAGCCCUUAGAGGUAAUCACCAGCAGAAGCCUUGGCUGGUUCCUGAAAUCCUCUGAAUUCUAUCAUGUCCUGCUGAGCUGAACAUAUCUAUUUUACGUCUGCACAGAACUCUGGGAGAUAGAUCUCCACACCGCCAGCAAGCAUCAUCAAGCAACCUGCACAUGGGAGCUGAGAAGGCAAAC